UUGGCCUACGGGGGGCAGCAGUAGGGAAUAUUGGACAAUGGGCGAAAGCCUGAUCCAGCAACGCCGCGUGCACGAUGAAGGCCUUCGGGUCGUAAAGUGCUUUUCUGAGGGAAGAGAAAGGACGGUACCUCAGGAAUAAGUCUCGGCUAACUACGUGCCAGCAGCCGCGGUAAUACGUAGGAGGCAAGCGUUAUCCGGAUUUACUGGGCGUAAAGCGCGUGUAGGCGGUUCGGUAAGUUGGAUGUGAAAGCUCCCGGCUCAACUGGGAGAGGUCGUUCAAUACUGCCGGACUAGAGGACGGUAGAGGGAGGUGGAAUUCCGGGUGUAGUGGUGAAAUGCGUAGAUAUCCGGAGGAACACCAGUGGCGAAGGCGGCCUCCUGGGCCGUUCCUGACGCUCAGACGCGAAAGCAUGGGUAGCAAACGGGAUUAGAAACCCCGGUAGUCCAUGCCGUAAACGAUGCGGACUUGGUGUUGGUGGCGUAAAAACCAUCAGUGCCGCAGCUAACGCGAUAAGUCCGCCGCCUGGGGACUACGAUCGCAAGA
rnacentral:rRNA from 1 species